AGGAGACAAUAAAUUCAAGACUCUCAAAUUAGACAUUUUAAAUUUAGUUGUAUUGUAAUUAAAUUGUUUAAACUUUUUGGACAAACUUUUGCACAUUGGGCCCUUUUUAGUGACAAUUUUGUAGAAGCCCAAUUUUGUGGGACACAUGCCCUAACCCUAGGGUUUUCUUUGGUGGCCCCCACCCUAAAAAAAGAUGACACAUGGCCUUGCUUUUAGAGUUGCAGCCGUCACACACAUUUUGAAGGGGGUGCUGCAACGUUUUUGAGACAUCAUUCUCGGUAGAUUCACUCUUGGCUGCUGGAAAACUUUUUUUGGAUAAUUUCUUUUGCUUGAAACAUGUUGAUGUUCUUUGAUUUUGGAUGAAUAUCUUUGCAUUGAGCAUUCUAUCUUUCUCUCGGUCCAGUGCUGUCACGACCAA
rnacentral:lncRNA from 1 species